CGCCUGUUUAACAAAAACAUGGCCUUUAGGAUUUAAUUUAAGGCCUGACCUGCCCAGUGAUUAAUUUAACGGCCGCGGUAUAUUGACCGUGCAAAGGUAGCAUAAUCAUUAGUCUUUUAAUAGAGGGCUGGAAUGAAUGGUUUAACGAGGAACUAACUGUCUCAUUUUAUUUGUUUUAAAACUUAAUUUUUUAGUUAAAAAGCUAAAAUUCUACUGGAAGACGAGAAGACCCUAUAGAUCUUUAUAUAAUUUUUUGUAUUUAUUUUUAUAUCAGUAUGAUUAUAUUAAAAUUGUAUUUUGUUGGGGUGACAAAAAUAUAUGAAUAACUUUUUUAUUUAUUUGCCAUUGAUAUAUGAUUAUUGGAUCCACUUUUAGUGAUUAUUAGAAUAAGUUACCUUAGGGAUAACAGCG
rnacentral:rRNA from 1 species